rnacentral:rRNA from 1 species
UCGGGAAUUUUGGGCAAUGGGCGAAAGCCUGACCCAGCAACGCCGCGUGAAGGAUGAAGUAUUUCGGUAUGUAAACUUCGUAAGAAUAGGAAGAAUAAAUGACGGUACUAUUUGUAAGGUCCGGCUAACUACGUGCCAGCAGCCGCGGUAAUACGUAGGGACCAAGCGUUGUUCGGAUUUACUGGGCGUAAAGGGCGCGUAGGCGGUUUGUCAAGUCAGUUGUGAAAUCUCCGAGCUUAACUCGGAACGGUCAACUGAUACUGUCAAACUAGAGUACAGAAGGGGCAAUCGGAAUUCUUGGUGUAGCGGUGAAAUGCGUAGAUAUCAAGAGGAACACCUGAGGCGAAGGCGGGUUGCUGGGCUGAUACUGACGCUGAAGCGCGAAAGCUAGGGUAGCAAACGGGAUUAGAUACCCCAGUAGUCCCUGAGCGGGCUGGCAAGGCGCAU